UAAAGUGGCGCACGGGUGAGUAACACGUGGAUCAUCUACCUUUUAGUGGGGAAUACCUCUGGGAAACCGGAGACAAUACCGCAUAAGCCUGUAAAGGGAAAGCGUCGUCUUUAAAAACGACGCGCUGAAAGAGGAGUCCGCGGCCGAUUAGCUAGUUGGCGGGGUAAUGGCCCACCAAGGCGAAGAUCGGUAGCCGGCCUGAGAGGGCACACGGCCACACUGGCACUGAAACACGGGCCAG
rnacentral:rRNA from 1 species